AGUGAACGCUGGCGGCGUGCCUAAUACAUGCAAGUCGAACGAAGUGGCGCACGGGUGUGUAAUAUAUAGUUAAUAUGCCCUACACAGAGGAACAACAGUUGGAAACGACUGCUAAUACCCCAUAGUUUAGGAUGUGACUAUAUCGUAUCAGCUAGUUGGUAAGGUAAUGGCUUAGAAGGGCUAUGACGCGUAACUGGUCUGAGAGGAUGAUCAGUCACAGUGGGACUGGGAUACGGCCCAAACUCCUACGGGAGGCAGCAGUGGGGAAUAUUGCACAAUGGGGGAAACGCUGAUGCAGCAACGCCGCGUGCGGGAGGACGGCCUUCGGGGUGUAAACCGCUUUCAGCCAUGACGCGUUACCAACAGAAUAAGCACCGGCUAACUUCGUGCCAGCCGCCGCGGUAAUUC
rnacentral:rRNA from 1 species